CCGGCGCACGGGUGAGUAACACGUAUCCAACCUGCCGUCUACUCUUGGACAGCCUUCUGAAAGGAAGAUUAAUACAAGAUGGCAUCAUGAGUCCGCAUGUUCACAUGAUUAAAGGUAUUCCGGUAGACGAUGGGGAUGCGUUCCAUUAGAUAGUAGGCGGGGUAACGGCCCACCUAGUCUUCGAUGGAUAGGGGUUCUGAGAGGAAGGUCCCCCACAUUGGAACUGAGACACGGUCCAAACUCCUACGGGGAGGCAGCAUG
rnacentral:rRNA from 1 species